GAUCGCUCAAUAGCGUAUAUUCAAGUUGUUGCAGUUAAAAAGCGCGUAGUCGAAUUUUGGCUCUGGUUGAGUGGUUUGGACUCACGUUCAACACUGCCCGAUUGGAGCUUUCCUUCUAGGGAACUAGUGUGCUAUUUAUUUAGUGCGGUAGGGAUCUAGGACUGUUACUUUGAAAAAAUUAGAGUGUUUAAAACAGGCUUAUGCUUGAAUACAUUAGCAUGGAAUAACGGAAUAGGACUUUGUUUUAUUUUGUUGGUUUAGAAAACGAAGUAAUGAUUAAUAGGGAUGGUUAGGGGCAUUAGUAUUCCACAGUCAGAGGUGAAAUUCUUGGAUUUGUGGAAGACUAACUUCUGCGAAAGCAUUUGUCAGGGACGUUUUCAUUGAUCAAGCACGAAAGUUAGGGGAUCGAAGACGAUUUAUUAUCUACACUGUUGUCCAAUCAAAAAUGAAACGAGGCUUGAUGGGCAAAGUGUAUCUGGUCGUUAAGAGUGACCUGAAAGGGAAGCUAGUCUGGAUGAAACCAGGCGACACCAUCAAAUUGCGGGGACGUCCUAAAGCUUGUUUAACUAACCGCGCGUGGAAACACAGUGUGGGGCCAGGGUAAUGACCUCGGGUAUAGUAAAAUCAAACAAGAUGCUACAAUGGAUAAUCCGCAGCCAAGCCCUAAGUCUAGUAAUAGAUAUGGGUGCAGUUCACAGACUAGAUGUUGGUGGGCCAUGAGACUCGAUCUCUAGGCUUAAGAUAUAGUCGGGCUGACUGGGAAACCAGUUGGAUCAACCGCAGAUACCGUCGUAGUCUUAACAGUAAACGAUGCCGAUUCAGGAUCCUAGAGUGUUAUUUUAUUGACCUCUAGGGCACUGUAUGAGAAAUCAAAAUUUUUGGGUUCCGGGGGGAGUAUGGUCGCAGGGGCUGAAACUAA
rnacentral:rRNA from 1 species